UUGGAACUACCUGUUUUUUGUGCAGCCUUGUUCCAUAUAAUGCUUGGUUAUAAGUGCUAACUUCCUACUCCUUUUAGUUGUAAAACCCACCGCCUAAUGUACGCGCAAAGAUAAUUCUGCUAAUUUUAGCCAACAUGGACCACCAAUAUUAUUUUAUCGAAUUUAGGUUCUCAUGGUAGUACAAACCAAUAGUGUUCCAACAUGAUGGCACUAACUUGACUUUAUUUAC
rnacentral:lncRNA from 1 species